GGGCGUAAAGCGUCCGCAGGCGGCUUUUCAAGUCUGCUGUUAAAACGUGGAGCUUAACUCCAUCAUGGCAGUGGAAACUGAAAGGCUUGAGUAUGGUAGGGGCAGAGGGAAUUCCCGGUGUAGCGGUGAAAUGCGUAGAUAUCGGGAAGAACACCAGUGGCGAAGGCGCUCUGCUGGGCCAUUACUGACGCUCAUGGACGAAAGCCAGGGGAGCGAAAGGGAUUAGAUACCCCUGUAGUCCUGGCCGUAAACGAUGAACACUAGGUGUCGGGGGAAUCGACCCCUUCGGUGUCGUAGCUAACGCGUUAAGUGUUCCGCCUGGGGAGUACGCACGCAAGUGUGAAACUCAAAGGAAUUGACGGGGGCCCGCACAAGCGGUGGAGUAUGUGGUUUAAUUCGAUGCAACGCGAAGAACCUUACCAGGGUUUGACAUCCUGCGAACCUCUUAGAAAUUUGAGGGUGCCUUCGGGAAUGCAGUGACAGGUGGUGCAUGGCUGUCGUCAGCUCGUGUCGUGAGAUGUUGGGUUAAGUCCCGCAACGAGCGCAACCCACGUUUUUAGUUGCCAGCAUUUAGUUGGGCACUCUAGAAAGACCGCCGGUGAUAAACCGGAGGAAGGUGUGGAUGACGUCAAGUCAUCAUGCCCCUUACACCCUGGGCUACACACGUACUACAAUGCUACGGACAAAGGGCAGCAAACUCGCGAGAGCUAGCAAAUCCCAUAAACCGUGGCUCAGUUCAGAUCGUAGGCUGCAACUCGCCUACGUGAAGUAGGAAUCGCUAGUAAUCGCAGGUCAGCAUACUGCGGUGAAUACGUUCCCGGGCCUUGUACACACCGCCCGUCACACCAUGGAAGUUGGCCAUGCCCGAAGUCGUUACUCCAACCCUUGUGGAGGAGGACGCCGAAGGUGGGGCUAAUGACUGGGGUGAAGUCAUAACAAGGUAGCCGUA
rnacentral:rRNA from 1 species